rnacentral:rRNA from 1 species
UGGGGAAUCUUGCACAAUGGGCGAAAGCCUGAUGCAGCAACGCCGCGUGCGGGAAGAAGGCCUUAGGGUUGUAAACCGCUUUCAGCAGGGAAGAAAAUGACGGUACCUGUAGAAGAAGGUGCGGCCAACUACGUGCCAGCAGCCGCGGUGACACGUAGGCACCAAGCGUUGUCCGGAUUUAUUGGGCGUAAAGAGCUCGUAGGCGGUUCGGUAAGUCGGGUGUGAAAACUCUGGGCUCAACCCAGAGCCGCCACUCGAUACUGCUGUGACUCGAGUGCGGUAGGGGAGCGGGGAAUUCCUGGUGUAGCGGUGAAAUGCGCAGAUAUCAGGAGGAACACCAGUGGCGAAGGCGCCGCUCUGGGCCGUGACUGACGCUGAGGAGCGAAAGCGUGGGUAGCAAACAGGAUUAGAUACCCUGGUAGUCCACGCCGUAAACGUUGGGCACUAGGUGUGGGUCUCAACCAACGAGAUCCGCGCCGUCGCUAACGCAUUAA